CGUAGGGUGAACCUGCGGAGGGAUCAUUACCGAGUUUACAACUCCCAAACCCCUGUGAACAUACCAAUUGUUGCCUCGGCGGAUCAGCCCGCUCCCGGUAAAACGGGACGGCCCGCCAGAGGACCCCUAAACUCUGUUUCUAUAUGUAACUUCUGAGUAAAACCAUAAAUAAAUCAAAACUUUCAACAACGGAUCUCUUGGUUCUGGCAUCGAUGAAGAACGCAGCAAAAUGCGAUAAGUAAUGUGAAUUGCAGAAUUCAGUGAAUCAUCGAAUCUUUGAACGCACAUUGCGCCCGCCAGUAUUCUGGCGGGCAUGCCUGUUCGAGCGUCAUUUCAACCCUCAAGCCCCCCGGGUUUGGUGUUGGGGAUCGGCGAGCCCUCGCGGCAAGCCGGCCCCGAAAUCUAGUGGCGGUCUCGCUGUAGCUUCCAUUGCGUAGUAGUAAAACCCUCGCAACUGGUACGCGGCGCGGCCAAGCCGUUAAACCCCCAACUUCUGAAUGUUGACCUCGGAUCAGGUAGGAAUACCCGCUGAACUUAAGCAUAUCAAUAAGGCGGAGGAA
rnacentral:rRNA from 1 species